rnacentral:rRNA from 1 species
GACGAACGCUGGCGGCGUGCUUAACACAUGCAAGUCGAACGGAAAGGCCCUGCUUUUGUGGGGUGCUCGAGUGGCGAACGGGUGAGUAACACGUGAGUAACCUGCCCUUGACUUUGGGAUAACUUCAGGAAACUGGGGCUAAUACCGGAUAGGAGCUCCUGCUGCAUGGUGGGGGUUGGAAAGUUUCGGCGGUUGGGGAUGGACUCGCGGCUUAUCGGCUUGUUGGUGGGGGAGUGGCUUACCAAGGCUUUGACGGGUAGCCGGCCUGGGAGGGUGACCGGCCACAUUGGGACUGAGAUACGGCCCAGACUCCUACGGGAGGCAGCGGUGGGGAAUAUUGCACAAUGGGCGGAAGCCUGAUGCAGCAACGCCGCGUGCGGGAUGACGGCCUUCGGGUUGUAAACCGCUUUCGCCUGUGACGAAGCGUGAGUGACGGUAAUGGGUAAAGAAGCACCGGCUAACUACGUG